rnacentral:rRNA from 1 species
UACAGAGGGGGCAAGCGUUGUUCGGAAUUACUGGGCGUAAAGGGCGCGUAGGCGGCCUUCUAAGUCGAACGUGAAAUCCCCGGGCUCAACCCGGGAACUGCGUCCGAUACUGGAAGGCUUGAAUCCGGGAGAGGGAUGCGGAAUUCCAGGUGUAGCGGUGAAAUGCGUAGAUAUCUGGAGGAACACCGGUGGCGAAGGCGGCAUCCUGGACCGGCAUUGACGCUGAAGCGCGAAAGCCAGGGGAGCAAACGGG